rnacentral:lncRNA from 1 species
CGUCUUCCAAGAGGUGUUUGAUCAUUCCUUGGCCUUUGAAAUAUAUUUUCACAAAUCUACUCCAUUGCAUGUAGUUUUUCUCGUCCAGUCUCCGAUCUGGAGGAAGAAGAGCUUGGGCUGGAAAAAGCUUGGAUUCAUCUGCCAUAGCUUGAAUAUAAUAAGCUCAGACGCAGGCGACCGGACUGACCUUCAGUUGGCGUCUUCUGGGCACAGAACGGGGCGGCGGACCGGCGCCGGAGACGGCGGCACGCAGGAGAGCUCCUCGC